AAAACAGCUGAGCAAUUGACCAGGUAAUGCAUGCAGUUUGUAAGGUUCUGGAAAAGGGAUCACCUUCAAAUUUUCAAGAUUGUAAACUGGAGUGAGAUGGAGUUGGAGAAGGGGACCUCUCUUUCCUCUUACCAGCCAAACCAGAACAUUUAUUUAAGCUGCCGCCAUUCUGACUUGUAAAACUAUCUGAAUGGCAACAGGCUGCAAUUUGAUCAGGUUCACUAACUUCAGAAGCUUCUACUACACUUGCAAGUUGUUUAUUGUCAGAUUCACAUGAAGCCUGUCUGGUGAUGCAGAGCCAAGUCCUUGAAGACUCCUCAACUACCUCACCUGCCAGAGGCACAUGCCACGACCCGUUCUCGGAUUCCUGAAUGACAACAGAAUAUGUGGGUGGCAUCAGAAGCUUAAUCUCCCCUUUAACAAAAGUGUACUUCACCUGAUGUCUUUCUUUCCAUCGGGCAAAAAAGCUACUACCCAGGAGCUCAAAGAUGUGAUCUCUCAUUUCAUCAUUUGUCACGAGCAAACACUUACAUUUCACUGCUGCAUAAAGCCAGUACCAGUCAUCAUUGGAUCCAAAGGGUGUUCCGUAAAGUAUCUUUUCAUUUAUCCACUCUUCAAGCAACUCUCUAUAGCCAGCAUCCUCAAGAAGUGUACGAACACGCUUUUUGUGUAAUAUGACCAGUGGCCACUUGUUGCUCCUGCUAUGCAAUUCCUUCACAACAGCAACAAACUGUGCAAUACUAAAGCCUCCCGCAGCAAAAUUCUGCUGAAAAAGCCCAACAUUUGCUGCAUCUACUACAGCAUCAUAAUCUGAAUGCUUUUCCAGCCAGUCCUGAAAUUCCUUAAAAUUGGAAUGGACUUCCCUUUCCAUUGCCAAAGAAGCAACUGACUCUGCAAAUCGUUCCGUUUCUGAUCUGUCAAUAUCAACACAAACCAACUGUUCGCCACAAGAUAGACACCUCCCAUCAGGAGCUAUUUGGGACCUCUGUGCAAGCCAUUUACCCUUUCCAAGCCAUCCGAGACCAUGCCACCCUCCACCAUUUUGUAAAAUUACUUCUUUCACCUGAUCCAUAUCCCCGUUGGAUAACCCCACCUUAGUUGCCAUUUCCCCUCCAAACCAACUCUGUAUUAUUUCUGCUGUCGAGUCACUUACGCUCCUGAUUGACAUUCUCAGUUUAUGUAAAUACUGAUAGACCUUCUCUUCCCUUUCUUUCUCCACACUCACCUUUAACAACCCAGCAAGCUCAGCUUCCUCAAGUUGCAAACCAAGAGACCGCAUGUGUUCUUCCACUUGAUAGGCCUUAUCAGCCUCACCCAUCUUACAAAAACAAAACAAAGCCGGUCCAUAAGUCCUUAACUUUCCACAAUUCCCCACCCCUUUAGCCAACUCAAAUGCUCUGUCACCGUCAUCAGUUGCUGCCGCCAGCCGAGCAACAGCCGUGACAGUUGCCUCAUUAGGGGUUAUGUUACACGAAUCCAUAUGUUCAAAAACUCGAAACCCAAAUUGAAUAGCGUCAUUUUUCGUUGAUGGGUCUGAAAAAGAGUUGGAGCAGAUGUAAAGAAAAGAAUUGAAAUGGUUACUGGAAAGGCGGAUUGUUGAGGCAUCUGAAAUAGCGGAUUCGUAUAAGGAGAUGGCAGUAGAAAGAUCUUUGGUUUUGGAGCAAUUAUCUAGGCUUGACCGGAAUUGACCUUCUGGGGUUAGGUUUUUCUUCUUGUUUUUGGCUUUGUCCAUUUUCCGGUAGUAAUGGCGGCUGCGGCUGCAGCUGCGGCGGCGGAGAAAUAGUAGCUACACCUGGGUUUGGG
rnacentral:misc_RNA from 1 species